rnacentral:tRNA from 1 species
GGGCGGUUGGCGCAAUUGGUUAGCGCGCCUGAUUUACAUUCAGGAGGUUUUACUGGUUCAAGUCCAGUACCGCCCA